rnacentral:lncRNA from 1 species
AAAUUCCAUAUUAUGCAUCAUUCUCAUUCCAUUUAUAUGGAACAAGUAAAACCUCAUAGAUCAUGUGUAUUAAAAAAAAUACAUCAUUCAUGAAAUACGUCACUUCAUCCAUGAACAUCAACUUAAAUGCAUCCAUAAGUCAUUCAUUCAUACCAUGUAAGUACCCAAACACGUAUUCAAGUGAUUCCAUGUAAAUUCAUUCAAUUUCACUCAACAUUUAUUAAAAAUUCAGCAUAGACACAUGCAUGUAAAGUCACAUAUAUCAAUGCUUUAACCAUCAUAACUACCUUAAACUUCUACAAACUAACUCUAAUUACUUUGGGAAAUUGCCCAAAGUGUCCAAAACAGUCUCAACUAACUUUUUAACCAAUUUUCAACCUCUAAUCAUCCCUCACCUAGUUCUAUAUAGUCAUUCAUCAUUCACCCAUGAGAGGCCUCUUCUUCACUUUUUGAUUCCAUCCAUUCUCCAUGUUCUCUCAAGUUUUCACUUUCCAUUCUCUAACCUUCUCUCACUAGAGCUCAAAUCCAUGGUUGUUAAAGAUUCACAUUGAAACUUCAAUCAACUUGAGCAUAAACCUUCACCAUACUUCGCAUCAUAGUUUUUCAUGAUUCAAGCAUUGAAAAAUGGCAAAAGAAUCAAAAACAACAAGAAAUCAAAUGGAAGAAAAAAAGAGGAUGAAGAGGAAUUGAAUCGGAGGAAUUAACAAGCAAAUGCAAAGAAUCAUUUAUCGUUUGCACCGCUAUUGAAGAACCUUCGGAGGGUCUUCAAUUGAUAAGCCUCAAAUUUUAUUUAUCAUUCCAUGAGUGUUUUGCUUGCUUAUGCCUUCUAUGCUUGCUUGCUUGUUUGAGUUAUUUUUGUUUGCUUGUUUAUGUGUUUCCCUUGCUUUUCAUCUUGUGUGGGCGAUUACCUUGAGAAUCUAAACCUUGCCAUAAACAAAAACCAUAGAAAACUCAUUACCAAUACCAAACUUGACCUCCUUCAUCACCAAUUUCAACCUUCAUCAAAUUCACCAUAAAUCGCAAGAAACGUCACCAAGAAUCAUUACCGCAACCCUUACUAA